CCCGUAGGCGACGGCGCGAUUGGCCCUAUCCGGUACCCGAGUAGGGUCGGGCACGUGAAACCCGGCCUGAAUCUGGGGGGACCCUCCCCCAAGGCUAAGCACUCGAUGACGACCGAUAGCGAACCCAGUAGGGCGACCGAACGGUGGGAAGAACCCCGAUCAGGGGAGGACACUGAACCUGAAACCCCGUGCCUACGAGCGGUGGGAGCGGCGUACUCUUCGGAGUCCCGUGACCGCGUGCCUUUUGCAUAAUGAUCCGGCG
rnacentral:rRNA from 14 species